GAGGAAUAUUGCACAAUGGGCGCAAGCCUGAUGCAGCAACGCCGCGUGCGGGACGAAGGCCUUCGGGUCGUAAACCGCUUUUCUGGGGAAAGAGCAAGGACGGUACCUCAGGAAUAAGUCUCGGCUAACUACGUGCCAGCAGCCGCGGUAAAACGUAGGAGGCGAGCGUUAUCCGGAUUUACUGGGCGUAAAGCGCACGCAGGCGGCUCUGUAAGUCGGACGUGAAAGCUCUCGGCUUAACCGGGAGAGGCCGUUCGAUACUGCGGGGCUUGAGGUAGGGAGAGGAAUGCGGAAUUCCCGGUGUAGUGGUGGAAUGCGUAGAUAUCGGGAGGAACACCUGUGGCGAAAGCGGCAUUCUGGCCCUCACCUGACGCUGAGGUGCGAAAGCGUGGGUAGCAAAC
rnacentral:rRNA from 1 species